AUGAACGCUGGCGGCGUGCCUAAUACAUGCAAGUCGAGCGAACAGAUGAGGAGCUUGCUCCUCUGACGUUAGCGGCGGACGGGUGAGUAACACGUGGAUAACCUACCUAUAAGACUGGGAUAACUUCGGGAAACCGGAGCUAAUACCGGAUAAUAUAUUGAACCGCAUGGUUCAAUAGUGAAAUACGGUUUUGCUGUCACUUAUAGAUGGAUCCGCGCCGCAUUAGCUAGUUGGUAAGGUAACGGCUUACCAAGGCAACGAUGCGUAGCCGACCUGAGAGGGUGAUCGGCCACACUGGAACUGAGACACGGUCCAGACUCCUACGGGAGGCAGCAGUAGGGAAUCUUCCGCAAUGGGCGAAAGCCUGACGGAGCAACGCCGCGUGAGUGAUGAAGGUCUGCGGAUCGUAAAACGCUGUUAUUAGGGAAGAACAAAUGUGUAAGUAACUAUGCACGUCUUGACGGUACCUAAUCAGAAAGCCACGGCUAACUACGU
rnacentral:rRNA from 1 species